AGCAGCCGCGGUAAUUCCAGCUCCAAUAGCGUAUAUUAAAGUUGCUGCAGUUAAAAAGCUCGUAGUUGAAUUUCGGGACCGAUAUAUCGGUCGUGCCUCGGUACGUACUGGUAUUUUCGGUUUCUACCUUCUGACGAACCUUGAUGUCAUUAAUUUGGUGUCUUGGGGAAUCAGGACUGUUACUUUGAAAAAAUUAGAGUGUCUAAAGCAGGCUCACGCUUGAAUACAUUAGCAUGGAAUAAUGAAAUAGGACGUUUGAUUCUAUUUUGUUGGUUUCUAGGAUCGACGUAAUGAUUAAUAGGGAUAGUUGGGGGCAUUAGUAUUCAAUUGUCAGAGGUGAAAUUCUUGGAUUUAUUGAAGACUAACUACUGCGAAAGCAUUUGCCAAGGAUGUUUUCAUUAAUCAAGAACGAAAGUUAGGGGAUCGAAGACGAUCAGAUACCGUCGUAGU
rnacentral:rRNA from 1 species